AGCAAGAGGGGAUGGCGGGAGUGUAAUAUAACCUGGCUUUUGACAGAAUCACUCAGGACAACUGGGGGGCUAUUGGGGUUUUUUUCUCUUUGAAUAUAUAAAAUGAUGUAGUCCCCUUCCCCAGACCUCUCACAGUAAAUGGGCUAUGGUCUGUUGUGCUAGCUGUAUCUUCAUCUCUUUGUUAUAGAAGUGUAGCAAUUUACAUUAACUAAAUUACACUUGAAUUAUAAUUAGAGAAAUUGCUAGUGUAAUUUGUUGCAAAAUAAACAUUUGCAACAAACCCACAUUUAAUAACAGGAACCUUGUUUAUAAGCUUGUGUAUUUUAAAAACAUUUUUCCUAAGGUUGUCAUCAGUUGUACCAGGCACUUCUGCUAAGUGGAGUUAAAACGUGCAUUUUUGUUUCUGGAAUGUUCUUAUCUUUCUUAUAAAUGGAUAACUUACAUCAUUAGCUAGUUAAGCUUUAUUUUAUUUAUUUAUUUAUUUACUUACUUACUUACUUAUUUUGGUACUGGGGAUUGAACCCAGGGGCACUCUACCACUGAACUACAUCCCCAGAUAUUUUUCCUUUUUGUUAUGAGACAAGGUCUUUCUAAGUUGCUGAGGCUGACUUUGAACUUAUAGUCCACCUCCCUUAGCCUCCUGAGUGGCAGAGAUUAUAGGUGUGUAACCAGGGAACAUCAGAAAGGGACAUUGUGCCAGUUGUGGGCCUGGAUGCUCUUGUAACCCUGAGGCCCUCACAUGACAAGUCCCUGCUAUAGAGAAAAGCCCAGCUGCUGCUCCAGCACCCUCACCAUCUGAGCUACCAGACUUGUAAAUGAGGCCAUCUAGAAGAGUCCAACCCUGGCCAAGCUCCUAACUGAAUCAGCCAUGUGCAUGACUCCAGCCAACAACAUAGAGGACAGAAGAAUGACCCAGUUGAGCCAUUGCAGGUGGAUUGGGAUACAGGUGGCUCAAUCUAAAGUGAGAAUAGCAAUGAAGUGAGGAGAAAUAGAACUAAUUUAGGAAACAAAAUUAGUGGGACUCAGAAAUAGAGGUGAUGUUUCUAGCUGUGGAACUCCAGGGCUGGUGCAGGCAAACUGAGCUGGAAGCACCAGAGGACAUGUGGGUUUAGAGAAGGCUGGUGAGUUUGGGUGUGG
rnacentral:lncRNA from 1 species